rnacentral:rRNA from 1 species
UACACACGGAUAACAUACCGAAAGGUAUGCUAAUACGGGAUAAUAUAUUUGAGAGGCAUCUCUUAAAUAUCAAAGGUGAGCCAGUACAGGAUGGACCCGCGUCUGAUUAGCUAGUUGGUAAGGUAACGGCUUACCAAGGCGACGAUCAGUAGCCGACCUGAGAGGGUGAUCGGCCACAUUGGAACUGAGACACGGUCCAAACUCCUACGGGAGGCAGCAGUGGGGAAUAUUGCACAAUGGGCGAAAGCCUGAUGCAGCAACGCCGCGUGAGUGAUGAAGGCCUUCGGGUCGUAAAACUCUGUCCUCAAGGAAGAUAAUGACGGUGCUUGAGGAGGAAGCCCCGGCUAACUACGUGCCAGCAGCCGCGGUAAUACGUAGGGGGCUAGCGUUAUCCGGAUUUACUGGGCGUAAAGGGUGCGUAGGCGGUCUUUCAAGUCAGGAGUGAAAGGCUACGGCUCAACCGUAGUAAGCUCUUGAAACUGGGAGACUUGAGUGCAGGAGAGGAGAGUGGAAUUCCUAGUGUAGCGGUGAAAUGCGUAGAUAUUAGGAGGAACACCAGUUGCGAAGGCGGCUCUCUGGACUGUAACUGACGCUGAGGCACGAAAGCGUGGGGAGCAAACAGGAUUAGAUACCCUGGUAGUCCACGCUGUAAACGAUGAGUACUAGGUGUCGGGGGUUACCCCCUUCGGUGCCGCAG